UCUGGGACAAGCCCUGGAAACGGGGUCUAAUACCGGAUAACACUCUGUCCCGCAUGGGACGGGGUUAAAAGCUCCGGCGGUGAAGGAUGAGCCCGCGGCCUAUCAGCUUGUUGGUGGGGUAAUGGCCUACCAAGGCGACGACGGGUAGCCGGCCUGAGAGGGCGACCGGCCACACUGGGACUGAGACACGGCCCAGACUCCUACGGGAGGCAGCAGUGGGGAAUAUUGCACAAUGGGCGAAAGCCUGAUGCAGCGACGCCGCGUGAGGGAUGACGGCCUUCGGGUUGUAAACCUCUUUCAGCAGGGAAGAAGCGAAAGUGACGGUACCUGCAGAAGAAGCGCCGGCUAACUACGUGCCAGCAGCCGCGGUAAUACGUAGGGCGCAAGCGUUGUCCGGAAUUAUUGGGCGUAAAGAGCUCGUAGGCGGCUUGUCACGUCGGAUGUGAAAGCCCGGGGCUUAACCCCGGGUCUGCAUUCGAUACGGGCUAGCUAGAGUGUGGUAGGGGAGAUCGGAAUUCCUGGUGUAGCGGUGAAAUGCGCAGAUAUCAGGAGGAACACCGGUGGCGAAGGCGGAUCUCUGGGCCAUUACUGACGCUGAGGAGCGAAAGCGUGGGGAGCGAACAGGAUUAGAUACCCUGGUAGUCCACGCCGUAAACGUUGGGAACUAGGUGUUGGCGACAUUCCACGUCGUCGGUGCCGCAGCUAACGCAUUAAGUUCCCCGCCUGG
rnacentral:rRNA from 1 species